AGCAGCCGCGGUAAUUCCAGCUCCAAUAGCGUAUAUUAAAGUUGUUGCAGUUAAAAAGCUCGUAGUUGAAUUUCGGGAUUGGCGCAUCGGUCGUGCCUCACGGGGUAUGAACUGGUGCAGUCAAUUUCUCACCUUCUGGAGAACCGCGAUGUCCUUAAUUGGAUGCCGCGGGGAACCAGGACCUUUACUUUGAAAAAUUGGAGUGUUUAAAGCAGGCAUUUUUGCUUGAAUACAUUAGCAUGGAAUAAUAAAAUAGGACGGCAUGGUUCUAUUUUGUUGGUUUCUAGGACCACCGUAAUGAUUAAUAGGGAUAGUUGGGGGCAUUAGUAUUCAAUUGUCAGAGGUGAAAUUCUUGGAUUUAUUGAAGACUAACUACUGCGAAAGCAUUUGCCAAGGAUGUUUUCAUUAAUCAAGAACGAAAGUUAGGGGAUCGAAGACGAUCAGAUACCGUCGUAGUCUUAACCAUAAACUAUGCCGACUAGGAAUCAGACGAUGUUAAUUUUUAAUGUACUCGUUUGGC
rnacentral:misc_RNA from 1 species